CUUUGGUGGCGACCGGCGCACGGGUGCGUAACGCGUAUGCAACCUACCUUUAACAGGGGCAUAACACUGAGAAAUUGGUACUAAUUCCCCAUAACAUUCGAGAAGGCAUCUUCUUGGGUUAAAAACUCCAGUGGUUAAAGAUGGGCAUGCGUUGUAUUAGCUAGUUGGUGAGGUAACGGCUCACCAAGGCAACGAUACAUAGGGGGACUGAGAGGUUAACCCCCCAUAUUGGUACUGAGACACGGACCAA
rnacentral:rRNA from 1 species